AUGAUGAUGGGGAACAUUGAUCUUCACUGUAACAGCUGCAGCAUCACAACACACAGAGGUUUUGUACCAGCAGUAAUAGUGAUUGUAUCACUGUGGUGGACUUUUGGUAGCGGCACCAGACUUGAUGUUGGAAGUAACAGUGCCCCCACCCUCACCGUCCUGCCCCCCUCUAGUGAGGAGCUGUCCAGUACAACAACAGCCACACUGACAUGUCUGGCCAACAAGGGCUUCCCCUCAGACUGGACCAUGAGCUGGAAUGUGGACGGGACCAACAAGAACCAGGAGACCAGUCCCGGGGUCUUGGAGAAGGAUGGCCUGUACAGCUGGAGCAGCACCCUGACUCUCACUGCCCAGGAGUGGACCAAGGCAGGAGAGGUGACCUGUGAAGCCCAGCAGAAAUCCCAGACUCCAGUCACCAAGACCCUGAGGAAGGCUGACUGUUCUGGGUAGAACCCCUCAGACACACACCCCUGUGGAGAGAGGUUGCUGGUUCCUCUGCUUUGACUGUGUUUUGAGAUCAGAUGUUCUCUGCCUUAUUGAUUACUGACAUGUAGACUAACAGAGGGCUUUGCUUGAGUUCAUGUGUCAAUCAUCUCUGUCGACUGAGGUUGAAUCAGUGUUAGAUUUGAUGUGUUCUGUUUUAUUACUACUAGAUACUGUAGGAAUGUUUGCUUUGAUGCUUUAAUGAAUAGAUGAAAAUAAAGAUUUCCCUUUGGACAAAUA